GUGCUCACCUCAGCAGCACAUAUACUAAAAUUGGAAUGAUACAGAGAAGAUUAGCAUGGCCCUGUACAAGGCUGACAAUGCAAAUUCGUGAAGCAUUCCAUAUUUUG